rnacentral:rRNA from 1 species
CCUUACGGGCGGUGUGUGCAAUUGCAGUUGAUACUGCGUCGCUUGAGUGCACACAGGGAUGUUGGAAUUCAUGGUGUAGCGGUGAAAUGCUUAGAUAUCAUGAAGAACUCCGAUCGCGAAGGCAUAUGUCCGGAGUGCAACUGACGCUGAGGCUCGAAAGUGUGGGUAUCAAACAGGAUUAGAUACCCUGGUAGUCCACACAGUAAACGAUGAAUACUCGCGGUUGGUUCGUUAGAGUCAGCCGCCAAGCGAAAGCGUUAAGUAUUCCACCUGGGGAGUACGCCGGCAACGGUGAAACUCAAAGGAAUUGACGGGGGCCCGCACAAGCGGAGGAACAUGUGGUUUAAUUCGAUGAUACGCGAGGAACCUUACCCGGGCUUGAACUGCCAGUGACUCAUGCAGAGACGCAUGUUUCUUCGGACACUGGCGGAGGUGCUGCAUGGUUGUCGUCAGCUCGUGCCGUGAGGUGUCGGCUUAAGUGCCAUAACGAGCGCAACCCUUCUCCCUGUUUGCCAUCGGGUUAAGCCGGGCACUCCAGGGACACUGCCAUCGUAAGAUGUGAGGAAGGUGGGGAUGACGUCAAAUCAGCACGGCCCUUACGUCCGGGGCUACACACGUGUUACAAUGGGCGGUACAGAAAGCAGCUACCCCGCGAGGGGAUGCCAAUCUCAAAAACCGUUCUCAGUUCGGACUGGAGUCUGCAACCCGACUCCACGAAGCUGGAUUCGCUAGUAAUCGCGCAUCAGCCAUGGCGCGGUGAAUACGUUCCCGGGCCUUGCACUCACCGCCCGUA